ACGAACGCUGGCGGCGUGCUUAACACAUGCAAGUCGAACGGGCCUUGUCCCCUUUUUUUUGGGGGUGGGGUUAGUGGCGAACGGGUGAGUAACACGUGAGUAACCUGCCCCUCACUUCUGGAUAACCGCUUGAAAGGGUGGCUAAUACGGGGUGUUCUGGCCUGCUCGCAUGGGUGGGUUUGGAAAGAUUCGACCGGUUUUGGUUGUUUUGGUGGGGGAUGGGCUCGCGGCCUAUCAGCUUGUUGGUGGGGUGAUGGCCUGCCAAGGCUUUGACGGGUAGCCGGCCUGAGAGGGUGGGCGGUCACACUGGGUCUGAGACACGGCCCAGACUCCUACGGGAGGCAGCAGUGGGGAAUAUUGCACAAUGGGCGCAAGCCUGAUGCAGCGACGCCGCGUGAGGGAUGGAGGCCUUCGGGUUGUGAACCUCUUUCGCCAGUGAAGAAGGUCCUGCUCUUUGUGGUGGGGUUGACGGUAGCUGGGUUAAUGAAGCGCCGGCUAACUACGUG
rnacentral:rRNA from 1 species